GCAGGAUGUGACAGAGUCCUUGUGUUUGGAAAACCCUCUUGUCCUGAAAUCAUCGUUUAAUCGACCGAAUAUUUACUAUGAAGUUCGUUACAAAGAUUUGUUGGACAAUCCCCAUGCUGAUUUAUCAUAUCAUGCAGGAUUGAACAGUAAAUUGCGGAGCUCUGUUUUGGAUGAUUGGAUCUCGUCCAAAA